rnacentral:rRNA from 1 species
GACGAACGCUGGCGGCGUGCUUAACACAUGCAAGUCGAACGAUGACGCCCGAGCUUGCUCGGUCUGAUUAGUGGCGAACGGGUGAGUAACACGUGAGCAACCUGCCCUUCACUCUGGGAUAACCUCGGGAAAUCGGGGCUAAUACCGGAUAUGAGCUCCUGUCGCAUGGCGGGUUUUGGAAAGUUUUUCGGGGAAGGAUGGGCUCGCGGCCUAUCAGUUUGUUGGUGAGGUAGUGGCUCACCAAGGCGAUGACGGGUAGCCGGCCUGAGAGGGCGACCGGCCCCACUGGGACUGAGACACGGCCCAGCCUCCUACGGGAGGCAGCGGUGGGGAAUAUUGCACAAUGGGCGAAAGCCUGAUGCAGCGACGCCGCGUGAGGGAUGACGGCCUUCGGGUUGUAAACCUCUUUCAGCAGGGAAGAAGCGAAAGUGACGGUACCUGCAGAAGAAGCGCCGGCUAACUACGUG